CCUACGGGUGGCAGCAGUGGGGAAUAUUGCACAAUGGGGGAAACCCUGAUGCAGCGACGCCGCGUGAGUGAAGAAGUACUUCGUUACGUAAAGCUCUAUCAGCAGGGAAGAAACACUGACCUUACGGUCAGCAGACGGUACCUGAGUAACAAACCCCGGCUAACUACGUGCCAGCAGCCGCGGUAAUACGUAGGGGGCAAGCGUUAUCCGGAUUUACUGGGUGAAAAGGGAGCGUAGAGGUCCGCCAAGUCUGGAGUGAAAUGCCGCAGCUUAACUGCGGAACCGCUUUGGAAACUGGAUAACUAGAGUGCGGGAGGGGUAAGCGGAAUUCCUAGGGUAGCGGUGAAAUGCGUAGAUAUUAGGAGGAACACCGGUGGCGAAGGCGGCUUACUGGACCGUAACUGACGUUGAGGCUCGAAAGCGUGGGGAGCAAACAGGAUUAGAUACCCCGGUAGUC
rnacentral:rRNA from 1 species